rnacentral:tRNA from 1 species
GGUCAGGUGGCUGAGUUAGGCGGUAGGCUGUAAAUCUACUUACGGGGACAACCCCCUGGUCG